rnacentral:rRNA from 1 species
UACGUAGGUCCCGAGCGUUGUCCGGAUUUAUUGGGCGUAAAGCGAGCGCAGGUGGUUUAUUAAGUCUGGUGUAAAAGGCAGUGGCUCAACCAUUGUAUGCAUUGGAAACUGGUAGACUUGAGUGCAGGAGAGGAGAGUGGAAUUCCAUGUGUAGCGGUGAAAUGCGUAGAUAUAUGGAGGAACACCGGUGGCGAAAGCGGCUCUCUGGCCUGUAACUGACACUGAGCCUCGAAAGCGUGGGGAGCAAACAGG